GUAGGGGGACACAGCUGGAGGACCAGUAUGUCUCUUGUACGGUGGUUUGUGACAAGUCAAAUGUGACCUAUAAGGUUCAAUGAGGCCCAACCUGACUAUAAUGUGGUCACAUGCCCAUAUUGUGUAUGCAUAUAAUAUAAAUUGUGGUGAGUCAUCAUACUUGUCUUUUAAACUGUGAUAGUAUACUCGUCCAUAACUGGUAAUAAUGAGAAUGCUGCAGUAUGCAUGUGUCAGUAGGGGUAUAUGGGAUCCGAUUAUGCUUAAUGAGGUGUGUCACUCUGGGAAGGGUAAUAAGGUGUUGUACCCACAGGCACUUCGUGCUUAUAAGGUCCAGCGACACACACUCAUACCUAUGUGACGGUCGUAGGGGGACACAGCUGGAGGACCAGUAUGUCUCUUGUAC
rnacentral:lncRNA from 1 species